rnacentral:misc_RNA from 1 species
AGCAGCCGCGGUAAUUCCAGCUCCAAUAGCGUAUAUUAAAGUUGUUGCAGUUAAAAGCUCGUAGUUGAAUUUCGGGAUUAAUAUGUUGGUCGUGCCUUGGUACGUACUGGCAUUAUUGAUUCCUACCUUCUGAAGAACCUCGAUGUCAUUAAUUUGGUGUCUUGGGGAAUCAGGACCUUUACUUUGAAAAAUUAGAGUGUUUAAAGCAGGCUCGCGCUUGAAUACAUUAGCAUGGAAUAAUGAAAUAGGACGUUUGAUUCUAUUUUGUUGGUUUCUAGGAUCGACGUAAUGAUUAAUAGGGAUAGUUGGGGGCAUUAGUAUUCAAUUGUCAGAGGUGAAAUUCUUGGAUUUAUUGAAGACUGACUACUGCGAAAGCAUUUGCCAAAGAUGUUUUCAUUAAUCAAGAACGAAAGUUAGGGAUCGAAGACGAUCAGAUACCGUCGUAGUCUUAACCAUAAACUAUAGCCGACUAGGGAU